rnacentral:lncRNA from 1 species
UUGGUCAAAUUUAUUAUCCUCUAGGAGCGAUUCUGACUCCCCUUGUUUAUUUCCUGGUCUGUGCUUUGUUUUCUUUGGCCCUCGCUAAUUUGCUUGUUGGCAUCUUGAUUCCAUGAACGUACUAGACAUGCAGGCUGGAAAAGACCUGGUAAAAUCAUGUAGUGCUUUCCUUUCUACAGAGGUAGUAUCAAGCAUAUCUGGAUCAUCCCGUAGACCAUCCUGACAAAUAUUUGUCUAAACCUGUUCCUGAAGGUCCUACCUGAAGAAGAGUCUACAAUCUCUUUAAAGAAUGCUGCUGUACACUGAGGACAGUCCCUGUGUUCUGCCCCGGGGUGGCUGCAGCUGAACAGAAGGUGACAAGUUGAUGAUGCAGAUUUUGCUACUGUGAAGAAUGAACUUCGAUGUGAUGGUGAAACUCUGCAAUUUAUGCCUGUGGCUAGUCAUCUGUCACAGCAAGAGCUGCAUUAGCACGAGGGAAACUGAAGACCCAAGUGGAGAGCCUUGGCCAUGCGGUUUCUGUUCCUUGAUGGUACCCCUGCUGAGGAGGAAGGGGAAGAUGAACUCGGAUCUGGGAAGCAAACAACCCCCCUUUUUCCUGCGGCCAGAAAAAGGAGCGGAGAUGUGCAACGCUUUAAUUGGAUUCUGUAGGAUCACCGUUGCAGGGACGCAGAAGAACGGAGUGUUUUCUCUUCAAAGAUGAUGUGAUAUAAUGCCAGACUUCGAGGAGUGUUGUUGGGAUCUGUAUCACCUUGCUUGUGAGAUUAUGAGGCUUCUUUAGGGUAACAAAACUUGCUUCAUUUGAGAUAGAAUAUGACUUGAAACUGUAACAGCAAUUCCAGAAUAAAUUCCCCAAAGGUGAUCA